CUGGGGGCCGGCCUAUACAUGCAAGUCGAACGAGUUCUGAUUAUUGAAAGGUGCUUGCAUCUUGAUUUAAUUUUGAACGAGUGGCGGACGGGUGAGUAACACGUGGGUAACCUGCCCUUAAGUGGGGGAUAACAUUUGGAAACAGAUGCUAAUACCGCAUAAAUCCAAGAACCGCAUGGUUCUUGGCUGAAAGAUGGCGUAAGCUAUCGCUUUUGGAUGGACCCGCGGCGUAUUAACUAGUUGGUGAGGUAACGGCUCACCAAGGCAAUGAUACGUAACCGAACUGAGAGGUUGAUCGGCCACAUUGGGACUGAAACACGGCCCAAACUCCUACGGGAGGCAGCAGUAGGGAAUCUUCCACAAUGGACGCAAGUCUGAUGGAGCAACGCCGCGUGAGUGAAGAAGGCUUUCGGGUCGUAAAACUCUGUUGUUGGAGAAAAAUGGUCGGCAGAAUAACUGUUGUCGGCGUGACGGUAUCCAACCAGAAAGCCACGGCUAACUACGUGCCAGCAGCCGCGGUAAUACGUAAGUGGCAAGCGUUAUCCGGAUUUAUUGGGCGUAAAGCGAGCGCAGGCGGUUUUUUAAGUCUGAUGUGAAAGCCCUCGGCUUAACCGAGGAAGUGCAUCGGAAACUGGGAAACUUGAGUGCAGAAGAGGACAGUGGAACUCCAUGUGUAGCGGUGAAAUGCGUAGAUAUAUGGAAGAACACCAGUGGCGAAGGCGGCUGUCUGGUCUGUAACUGACGCUGAGGCUCGAAAGCAUGGGUAGCGAACAGGAUUAGAUACCCUGGUAGUCCAUGCCGUAAACGAUGAAUGCUAGGUGUUGGAGGGUUUCCGCCCUUCAGUGCCGCAGCUAACGCAUUAAGCAUUCCGCCUGGGGAGUACGACCGCAAGGUUGAAACUCAAAGGAAUUGACGGGGGCCCGCACAAGCGGUGGAGCAUGUGGUUUAAUUCGAAGCAACGCGAAGAACCUUACCAGGUCUGUGACAUCUUUUGAUCACUGAGAGAUCAGGUUUCCCCUUCGGGGGCAAAAUGACAGGUGGUGCAUGGUUGUCGUCAGCUCGUGUCGUGAGAUGUUGGGUUAAGUCCCGCAACGAGCGCAACCCUUAUGACUAGUUGCCAGCAUUUAGUUGGGCACUCUAGUAAGACUGCCGGUGACAAACCGGAGGAAGGUGGGGAUGACGUCAAAUCAUCAUGCCCCUUAUGACCUGGGCUACACACGUGCUACAAUGGAUGGUACAACGAGUUGCGAGACCGCGAGGUCAAGCUAAUCUCUUAAAGCCAUUCUCAGUUCGGACUGUAGGCUGCAACUCGCCUACACGAAGUCGGAAUCGCUAGUAAUCGCGGAUCAGCACGCCGCGGUGAAUACGUUCCCGGGCCUUGUACACACCGCCCGUCACACCAUGAGAGUUUGUAACACCCGAAGCCGGUGGCGUAACCCUUUAGGGAGCGAGCCUUUAUGGGGCAAUUGGUCGUCCUAUACGAUCCAGGG
rnacentral:rRNA from 2 species